rnacentral:rRNA from 1 species
CAGCAGCCGCGGGAAAACGGAGGGAGCUAGCGUUGUUCGGAAUUACUGGGCGUAAAGCGCGCGUAGGCGGUUACUCAAGUCAGAGGUGAAAGCCCGGGGCUCAACCCCGGAACUGCCUUUGAAACUAGGUGACUAGAAUCUUGGAGAGGUCAGUGGAAUUCCGAGUGUAGAGGUGAAAUUCGUAGAUAUUCGGAAGAACACCAGUGGCGAAGGCGACUGACUGGACAAGUAUUGACGCUGAGGUGCGAAAGCGUGGGGAGCAAACAGGAUUAGAUACCCCAGUAGUCCCUGUCUCUUAUAC